CUUCGCUGACGAGUGGCGGACGGGUGAGUAACACGUGGGUGAUCUGCCCUGCACUUCGGGAUAAGCUUGGGAAACUGGGUCUAAUACCGGAUAGGAGCCAUCUUUAGUGUGGUGGUUGGAAAGUUUUUCGGUGUAGGAUGAGCUCGCGGCCUAUCAGCUUGUUGGUGGGGUAAUGGCCUACCAAGGCGGCGACGGGUAGCCGGCCUGAGAGGGUGUACGGCCACAUUGGGACUGAGAUACGGCCCAG
rnacentral:rRNA from 1 species